UGGUACCCACCACCACUACUACAUCUCUUACACCUACAACUUCUUUACCUAUUGCCCAUUGCAAACACAACCACAUUCAUUCAUUCACUACUCAUUCAUAUAUAUAUAUAUAUAUAUAGCACCCCCAUAAGCCACUGCACCCUCUGCAACAUCUUCUUCUCCUUCUCUUUCUUCCAUUCUGAUUGCAACACCACCACUCCACACCUUCCAACAUGGGCGGUAUCAGCCUUGAGGAAAUCAAAAACGAGAACGUUGAUCUGGAACGAAUUCCGGUGGAGGAAGUGUUUGAGCAGCUGAAAUGUUCAAGAGCAGGUCUAACAUCGGAGGAAGGAGCCAGUCGGCUUCAAGUUUUUGGACCAAACAAAUUGGAAGAGAAAAAGGAAAGCAAAAUUUUGAAGUUUUUGGGUUUCAUGUGGAACCCCUUGUCAUGGGUUAUGGAAGCUGCUGCUAUAAUGGCCAUUGCUCUGGCCAAUGGUGGAGGAAGGCCUCCGGAUUGGCAAGAUUUCGUUGGUAUCAUUGCUCUCUUGUUCAUUAACUCCACCAUCAGUUUCAUCGAAGAAAACAAUGCUGGUAAUGCAGCUGCUGCACUCAUGGCUGGUUUAGCUCCCAAGACCAAGGUUCUGAGAGAUGGGAGAUGGACAGAACAAGAUGCUGCAAUUUUGGUCCCAGGAGACAUAGUCAGCAUCAAACUGGGAGAUAUCAUUCCUGCUGAUGCCCGUCUUCUGGAGGGUGAUGCUCUGAGUGUUGAUCAGUCUGCUUUGACAGGAGAGUCUCUCCCAGUGACAAAGAAUCCCUCUGAUGAAGUGUUUUCUGGAUCAACCGUGAAGAAGGGUGAGAUAGAAGCAGUGGUGAUUGCCACUGGGGUGCACACCUUUUUUGGCAAGGCUGCUCAUCUGGUUGACAGCACCAACCAAGUUGGUCACUUCCAGAAAGUCCUUACAGCAAUCGGUAACUUCUGCAUUUGCUCCAUUGCGGUUGGAAUAAUCAUUGAGCUCAUAGUCAUGUACCCAAUACAACACCGCAAGUACAGAGAUGGGAUUGACAAUCUGUUAGUUCUCUUGAUCGGAGGAAUUCCGAUUGCCAUGCCAACUGUUCUGUCUGUCACUAUGGCUAUUGGUUCUCACAGGCUUUCACAGCAAGGUGCCAUUACAAAACGUAUGACGGCUAUUGAGGAAAUGGCAGGAAUGGAUGUCCUCUGCAGUGACAAAACUGGGACUCUCACCCUAAAUAAGCUCAGUGUUGACAAGAAUCUGAUUGAAGUUUUUGCCAAGGGUAUUGAGAAGGAUUAUGUUAUCCUUCUUGCAGCCAGGGCUUCUAGGACUGAGAAUCAGGAUGCUAUAGAUGCUGCAAUUGUUGGGAUGCUUGCUGAUCCAAAGGAGGCACGAGCUGGUAUCAGGGAGGUCCACUUUCUUCCAUUCAAUCCUGUGGACAAGAGGACUGCUCUAACUUACAUUGAUUCUGAUGGAAAUUGGCAUCGAUCUAGCAAAGGUGCUCCUGAGCAGAUAUUGAACCUCUGCAACUGCAAAGAAGAUGUCAGAAAGAGGGUUCAUGGAGUGAUUGACAAGUUUGCUGAGCGUGGACUCCGUUCGUUAGGUGUUGCUAAACAGGAGGUACCUGAGAAAAACAAGGAUAGUCCUGGUGCACCAUGGCAGUUUGUUGGUCUUCUACCACUUUUCGAUCCUCCAAGGCACGACAGUGCGGAAACCAUCACAAGAGCUCUGAACCUUGGUGUGAAUGUUAAGAUGAUUACUGGUGAUCAGCUUGCCAUUGCCAAGGAAACUGGCCGAAGGCUUGGGAUGGGAACAAACAUGUACCCAUCUUCUUCAUUGCUUGGACAAAGCAAGGAUGCUUCUGUUUCAGCUCUUCCAGUUGAUGAAUUGAUUGAGAAAGCUGAUGGAUUUGCUGGAGUAUUUCCUGAACACAAAUAUGAAAUCGUGAAGAGGCUUCAAGAGAGGAAGCAUAUAUGUGGAAUGACAGGUGAUGGUGUCAACGAUGCCCCUGCAUUAAAGAAAGCAGACAUUGGAAUUGCUGUUGCUGAUGCCACAGAUGCUGCUAGAAGUGCUUCUGACAUUGUCCUCACCGAACCUGGUCUGAGUGUCAUUAUUAGUGCAGUGCUGACCAGCAGGGCAAUUUUCCAAAGGAUGAAGAAUUAUACUAUCUAUGCAGUGUCCAUCACCAUUCGUAUAGUGUUUGGUUUCAUGUUUAUUGCAUUGAUUUGGAAAUUUGAUUUUGCACCCUUCAUGGUGUUGAUUAUUGCAAUACUAAACGAUGGUACCAUCAUGACAAUUUCCAAGGAUCGAGUGAAACCAUCUCCACUGCCAGACAGCUGGAAGCUGAGGGAGAUUUUUGCCACUGGUGUUGUGCUAGGUAGUUACUUGGCACUAAUGACAGUGGUAUUUUUCUGGCUCAUUAAGGAUACCAGUUUCUUCUCGGACAAGUUUGGUGUGAGGUCUAUAAGAAAUAGCCCCGGAGAAAUGAUGGCAGCCCUGUACCUACAAGUCAGUAUUAUAAGUCAAGCACUGAUUUUUGUCACAAGGUCCCGCAGCUGGUCUUAUGUUGAAAGACCUGGUCUUCUCCUACUGAGUGCUUUUAUGAUUGCACAGCUGGUGGCAACAUUUCUAGCAGUAUAUGCUAACUGGGGCUUUGCAAGAAUUGAGGGAAUGGGAUGGGGUUGGGCUGGUGUAAUCUGGCUCUACAGUUUAGUGACAUAUGUUCCACUUGAUAUACUUAAAUUCGCAAUCCGCUAUGUUCUCAGUGGGAAGGCUUGGGACAAUCUUUUAGAGAACAAGACUGCCUUCACUACAAAGAAAGACUAUGGAAAAGAAGAGAGAGAAGCACAAUGGGCAACUGCACAGAGAACUCUUCACGGUCUUCAGCCACCUGAAACAACCAACCUUUUCAAUGACAAGAACAGUUACAGGGAGCUUUCAGAGAUUGCUGAACAAGCUAAGAGACGUGCUGAGGUUGCUAGGAAUUACACUUAGAUGAAACUCUAAUUGUAAUUGGAAAACAUCAAUAAAAGCACCUAAGGAGCUAUAUACUCAGGGAGCUUCAUACUCUGAAAGGACAUGUUGAGUCAGUGGUGAAGCUGAAAGGACUUGACAUUGACACAAUCCAACAGCAUUACACAGUUUAAGAAGCUUGGACAAUCUUCAAGAAGCCACUCUGGUGCUGUCCAAGAACAAAAACAACAAAUAUAAUGAAGACCUAAGUUAAUGUGUCUUUAUAUUAGGAUGAAGGUCCUUUUGUGAAAAUUUGAACGGUUACUGUUCCUUUUCAUCUGUGUCAGUAGCUCAAGGAGAUGCUAUGCUCUUUAGAUACCAAAUAACAUGGUAGAUAGGAUUUACUUACGUCUUAUUUUGAGAGUGUUAAAUGAUAUCAAGGUCACUGUUAAGCUCUCUUUUUUUUUUUUUCUGAUGAACAAAACUCGAUAUAUUUCCCAUCUUGAUCAACGUAGCUCAAUAAUGAAUUCAA